GAUUUUAACUAAAAAAGUCAUGAACAACAAAGUUGUAUAACUCAUCAAGAUCUAUAACUUUUAUUUUUAUCAUUUCUUCAUCCAAUAAAGUGUUAGUAACAUUGUUCACAAAAUUCACAUAUUUGAAUAAUGUUACUAUCACUUUAUCGGAUAAAGAAAUGACCAAAAUAAAAGUUAUAGAUCUUGAUGAGUUAUACAACAUUUGUUGUUGAUAACUUUUUCAGUUGAAAUC
rnacentral:pre_miRNA from 1 species